AGCUUUGCGCAGUGGCAGUAUCGUUGCCAAUGAGGUUUAUCCGAGGCACGAUUAUUGCUAAUUGAAAACUUUUCCCAAUACCCCGCCAUGACGACUUGAAAUAUCAUCAGCAUUGGCACUAAAAAAAAAAAU
rnacentral:snRNA from 1 species